UUGAUCCUGGCUCAGAAUCAACGCUGGCGGCGUGCCUAACACAUGCAAGUCGAACGAGAAAGUGGAGCAAUCCAUGAGUACAGUGGCGACCGGGUGAGUUACACGUGACUAACCUACCUUCGAGUGGGGGAUAACCUCGGGAAACCGAGUCUAAUACCGCAUAACAUCGAGAGAUCAAAGGAGCAAUUCGCUUGAAGAGUGGGUCGCGGCUGAUUAGCUAGUUGGCGGGGUAAUGGCCCACCAAGGCGAUGAUCGGUAGCCGGCCUGAGAGGGCGCACGGCCACACUGGAACUGAAACAUGGUCCAGACUCCUACGGGAGGCAGCAGUGGGGAAUUUUGCGCAAUGGGGUAAACCCUGACGCAGCAACGCCGCGUGGAGGAUGAAGCCCCUUGGGGUGUUAACUCCUUUCGACCAAGACGAUAAUGACGGUACUGGUGGAAGAAGCACCUGCUAACUCUGUGCCAGCAGCCGCGGUAAUU
rnacentral:rRNA from 1 species